CUAAAUUGUUAAUAAGAAGAAAUAUUGUACUAAUACAAUACAAAUAAGUCUAUUCAAGGCGUAGGAAUGCUCUGGAUUUCGACAAGAUGUUUCCAUGGGGUGUCCCCCCCUCCCCCCCCCCCCGCCCUGGCGAUGACCCUGCUCCGCUUUUAUCGAGUUCAACAUGUGACUGGCAGAGCGACCAGAUAUAGUAAAAACAUUUUACCUUUGUAACAUUUCGUCAAUUUUGGAAAUUGUUAGUAAAUAUGUUUGGUUCAGUUUGGUUUAAUUAAUGAAUUUGUUACAUUACUUUACAUUACUUGAUAUACAAAAGGUACAGGAAACAAAAGCAAUAACAGUUAGGAUUUGUGACAGGCUUUUGAAACAAAACUCGCGUUCCGAUUGAUAUCUUAUCCCAUACCUAGCGUAUUAGCGGCUUUCCUAGUGGCUACGAGGAGGUGCGUUCAAUCUC